rnacentral:lncRNA from 1 species
AUAGUUCAAAUUGGAGGGAGCUUGGGCAGAUACCACCUUUUCUUUUAAGGAAUGAAUGUAAUUGCUUGCAUUUUGUCUCUACUUCCUUCCUCUCAUUGAUUUAUUCCGAAGGCUAGAGUUUCUACUUUACAUUCUAAUUCAUCUGACAUAGCGUGUUUUUAAAAAACUUAGCAUUGCUUGCUUUGAUUUUCCAGUUGACUUUUGCUGAUGGAGCCUCUCUGAAGGGCAAAUUCAAAGUACAGCUGGGUGCUGCAGCACUGGAGUGCGAACUUGUGGCUGUGGUUAUGAAGGAGCCUCGUCAGCUAUGCCUUUAGCCCCUGGUGAAGCAGUGCCAGUCACACUUUGCCAGUCAAACGGAGAGGCAGCAGUAGUAAGACCAGACCAAAUCAAACCAAACCAAGCAAACCACGGGGAAUGGAGGUCAUGUGAGCACACAGCAUAAAGGCAGCUGCCCACAAGCCAGGAAGAGAAGCAUCAUCAGAAACCGACCAUACUGGCUUCCUGAUCUCAGACUUUCAGCCUCCAGAAUGAGAUGGGGGUGUGAAAGGAAAUGAAAUCUUGGGACCCUAAACUCAUUAAGCCAAAGGGAAAAGCUGGGCCGAGAACUGGAUGAUGCAACCUGCUUCCACCUUUUUGCUUCCUAAAUAAGAUGGCUACA